rnacentral:rRNA from 1 species
AUUGAACACUGGCGGCAUGCUUUACACAUGCAAGUCGAACGGUAACAGGCCGCAAGGUGCUGACGAGUGGCGAACGGGUGAGUAAUGCAUCGGAACGUGCCCAGUCGUGGGGGAUAACUAUCCGAAAGGAUAGCUAAUACCGCAUACGAUCUGCGGAUGAAAGCGGGGGACCUUCGGGCCUCGCGCGAUUGGAGCGGCCGAUGUCAGAUUAGGUAGUUGGUGGGGUAAAGGCUCACCAAGCCAACGAUCUGUAGCUGGUCUGAGAGGACUACCAGCCAGCCGGGGACUGAGGCACGGCACAGACUCCUACGGGAGGCAGCAGUGGGGAAUUUUGGACAAUGGGCGCAAGCCUGAUCCAGCAAUGCCGCGUGCAGGAAGAAGGCCUUCGGGUUGUAAACUGCUUUUGUACGGAGCGAAACGGCUCUGGUUAAUACCUGGGGCUAAUGACGGUACCGUAAGAAUAAGCACCGGCUAACUACGUGCCAGCCGCCGCCGUAA